rnacentral:rRNA from 1 species
CAGUCGCCGCGGUAAUACAGAGGGUGCAAGCGUUAAUCGUAUUUACUGGGCGUAAAGCGUGCGUAGGCGGCUUUUUAAGUCGGAUGUGAAAUCCCUGAGCUUAACUUAGGAAUUGCAUUCGAUACUGGGAAGCUAGAGUAUGGGAGAGGAUGGUAGAAUUCCAGGUGUAGCGGUGAAAUGCGUAGAGAUCUGGAGGAAUACCGAUGGCGAAGGCAGCCAUCUGGCCUAAUACUGACGCUGAGGUACGAAAGCAUGGGGAGCAAACAGGAUUAGAUACCCGCGUAGUCCCUGUCUCUUAUAC